rnacentral:rRNA from 1 species
AGCGUACACGGUGGAUGCCCUGGCAGUCAGAGGCGAUGAAGGACGUGCUAAUCUGCGAUAAGCGUCGGUAAGGUGAUAUGAACCGUUAUAACCGGCGAUUUCCGAAUGGGGAAACCCAGUGUGAUUCGUCACACUAUCAUUAACUGAAUCCAUAGGUUAAUGAGGCGAACCGGGGGAACUGAAACAUCUAAGUACCCCGAGGAAAAGAAAUCAACCGAGAUUCCCCCAGUAGCGGCGAGCGAACGGGGAGCAGCCCAGAGCCUGAAUCAGUGUGUGUGUUAGUGGAAGCGUCUGGAAAGGCGCGCGAUACAGGGUGACAGCCCCGUACACAAAAAUGCACAUACUGUGAGCUCGAUGAGUAGGGCGGGACACGUGGUAUCCUGUCUGAAUAUGGGGGGACCAUCCUCCAAGGCUAAAUACUCCUGACUGACCGAUAGUGAACCAGUACCGUGAGGGAAAGGCGAAAAGAACCCCGGCGAGGGGAGUGAAAAAGAACCUGAAACCGUGUACGUACAAGCAGUGGGAGCCUCUUUAUGGGGUGACUGCGUACCUUUUGUAUAAUGGGUCAGCGACUUAUAUUCUGUAGCAAGGUUAACCGAAUAGGGGAGCCGAAGGGAAACCGAGUCUUAACUGGGCGUUAAGUUGCAGGGUAUAGACCCGAAACCCGGUGAUCUAGCCAUGGGCAGGUUGAAGGUUGGGUAACACUAACUGGAGGACCGAACCGACUAAUGUUGAAAAAUUAGCGGAUGACUUGUGGCUGGGGGUGAAAGGCCAAUCAAACCGGGAGAUAGCUGGUUCUCCCCGAAAGCUAUUUAGGUAGCGCCUCGUGAAUUCAUCUCCGGGGGUAGAGCACUGUUUCGGCAAGGGGGUCAUCCCGACUUACCAACCCGAUGCAAACUGCGAAUACCGGAGAAUGUUAUCACGGGAGACACACGGCGGGUGCUAACGUCCGUCGUGAAGAGGGAAACAACCCAGACCGCCAGCUAAGGUCCCAAAGUCAUGGUUAAGUGGGAAACGAUGUGGGAAGGCCCAGACAGCCAGGAUGUUGGCUUAGAAGCAGCCAUCAUUUAAAGAAAGCGUAAUAGCUCACUGGUCGAGUCGGCCUGCGCGGAAGAUGUAACGGGGCUAAACCAUGCACCGAAGCUGCGGCAGCGACACUAUGUGUUGUUGGGUAGGGGAGCGUUCUGUAAGCCUGUGAAGGUGUACUGUGAGGUAUGCUGGAGGUAUCAGAAGUGCGAAUGCUGACAUAAGUAACGAUAAAGCGGGUGAAAAGCCCGCUCGCCGGAAGACCAAGGGUUCCUGUCCAACGUUAAUCGGGGCAGGGUGAGUCGACCCCUAAGGCGAGGCCGAAAGGCGUAGUCGAUGGGAAACAGGUUAAUAUUCCUGUACUUGGUGUUACUGCGAAGGGGGGACGGAGAAGGCUAUGUUGGCCGGGCGACGGUUGUCCCGGUUUAAGCGUGUAGGCUGGUUUUCCAGGCAAAUCCGGAAAAUCAAGGCUGAGGCGUGAUGACGAGGCACUACGGUGCUGAAGCAACAAAUGCCCUGCUUCCAGGAAAAGCCUCUAAGCAUCAGGUAACAUCAAAUCGUACCCCAAACCGACACAGGUGGUCAGGUAGAGAAUACCAAGGCGCUUGAGAGAACUCGGGUGAAGGAACUAGGCAAAAUGGUGCCGUAACUUCGGGAGAAGGCACGCUGAUAUGUAGGUGAAGCGACUUGCUCGUGGAGCUGAAAUCAGUCGAAGAUACCAGCUGGCUGCAACUGUUUAUUAAAAACACAGCACUGUGCAAACACGAAAGUGGACGUAUACGGUGUGACGCCUGCCCGGUGCCGGAAGGUUAAUUGAUGGGGUUAGCGGUAACGCGAAGCUCUUGAUCGAAGCCCCGGUAAACGGCGGCCGUAACUAUAACGGUCCUAAGGUAGCGAAAUUCCUUGUCGGGUAAGUUCCGACCUGCACGAAUGGCGUAAUGAUGGCCAGGCUGUCUCCACCCGAGACUCAGUGAAAUUGAACUCGCUGUGAAGAUGCAGUGUACCCGCGGCAAGACGGAAAGACCCCGUGAACCUUUACUAUAGCUUGACACUGAACAUUGAGCCUUGAUGUGUAGGAUAGGUGGGAGGCUUUGAAGUGUGGACGCCAGUCUGCAUGGAGCCGGCCUUGAAAUACCACCCUUUAAUGUUUGAUGUUCUAACGUUGGCCCCUGACCGGGGUUGCGGACAGUGUCUGGUGGGUAGUUUGACUGGGGCGGUCUCCUCCUAAAGAGUAACGGAGGAGCACGAAGGUUGGCUAAUCCUGGUCGGACAUCAGGAGGUUAGUGCAAUGGCAUAAGCCAGCUUGACUGCGAGCGUGACGGCGCGAGCAGGUGCGAAAGCAGGUCAUAGUGAUCCGGUGGUUCUGAAUGGAAGGGCCAUCGCUCAACGGAUAAAAGGUACUCCGGGGAUAACAGGCUGAUACCGCCCAAGAGUUCAUAUCGACGGCGGUGUUUGGCACCUCGAUGUCGGCUCAUCACAUCCUGGGGCUGAAGUAGGUCCCAAGGGUAUGGCUGUUCGCCAUUUAAAGUGGUACGCGAGCUGGGUUUAGAACGUCGUGAGACAGUUCGGUCCCUAUCUGCCGUGGGCGCUGGAGAACUGAGGGGGGCUGCUCCUAGUACGAGAGGACCGGAGUGGACGCAUCACUGGUGUUCGGGUUGUCAUGCCAAUGGCACUGCCCGGUAGCUAAAUGCGGAAGAGAUAAGUGCUGAAAGCAUCUAAGCACGAAACUUGCCCCGAGAUGAGUUCUCCCUGACUCCUUGA